rnacentral:rRNA from 1 species
UACAGAGAGUGCGAACGUUGUUCGGAAUUACUGGGCUUAAAGCGCACGUAGGCGGCAUCGUAAGUGUCUGGUGAAAUCCCACGGCUCACCCGUGGAACUGCCAGGCAUACUGUGAUGCUCGAGUGUGGUAGGGGAGAGCGGAACUCCUGGUGGAGCGGUGAAAUGCGUAGAUAUCUGGAGGAACACCGGUGGCGAAGGCGGCGUUCUGGACUGCAACUGACACUGAGGAACGAAAGCCAGGGUAGCAAACGGG